rnacentral:rRNA from 1 species
GAUGAACGCUGGCGGCGUGCCUAAUACAUGCAAGUCGAGCGAACGGACGAGAAGCUUGCUUCUCUGAUGUUAGCGGCGGACGGGUGAGUAACACGUGGAUAACCUACCUAUAAGACUGGGAUAACUUCGGGAAACCGGAGCUAAUACCGGAUAAUAUUUUGAACCGCAUGGUUCAAAAGUGAAAGACGGUCUUGCUGUCACUUAUAGAUGGAUCCGCGCUGCAUUAGCUAGUUGGUAAGGUAACGGCUUACCAAGGCAACGAUGCAUAGCCGACCUGAGAGGGUGAGCGGCCACCCUGGAACUGACACACGGUCCAGACUCCUACGGGAGGCAGCAGUAGGGAAUCUUCCGCAAUGGGCGAAAGCCUGACGGAGCAACGCAGCGUGAGUGAUGAAGGUCUUCGGAUCGUAAAACUCUGUUAUUAGGGAAGAACAUAUGUGUAAGUAACUGUGCACAUCUUGACGGUACCUAAUCAGAAAGCCACGGCUAACUACGUG